rnacentral:rRNA from 1 species
UCUCGAGCAUGAGAAGGGCAUUCGGUGGAUGCCUUGGCACCAGGAGGCGAUGAAAGACGUGGCACGCUGCGAAAAGCCACGGGGAGCCGCGAGCAGGCGUUGAUCCGUGGAUAUCUGAAUGGGGCAACCCACCCCUUUGGGGUAUCACAGCAUGAAUACAUAGUGUUGUGAGGCAAACCCGGGGAACUGAAACAUCUCAGUACCUGGAGGAAAAGACAUCAACAGAGAUUCCGCUAGUAGUGGCGAGCGAACGCGGAACAGGCCAGUGGUUGGUUUGGGAUAAGCAGAACGGUCUGGAAAGUCCGGCCAUAGCGGGUGAUAGCCCCGUAUGCGUAAAUACAAGCCAAUCCUUGAGUAAGGCGGGACACGUGAAAUCCUGUCUGAACAUGGGGGGACCACCCUCCAAGCCUAAAUACUCCCUGGUGACCGAUAGCGAACAAGUACCGUGAGGGAAAGGUGAAAAGCACCCCGAUGAGGGGAGUGAAAUAGACCUGAAACCGAAUGCCUACAAGCAGUCGGAGCCUCGUAUGGGGUGACGGCGUACCUUUUGUAUAAUGGGUCAGCGAGUUUCUGUUCGCGGCAAGCUUAAGCCGGUAGGUGUAGGCGCAGCGAAAGCGAGUCUGAACAGGGCGUUCAGUCGCGGGCAGAAGACCCGAAACCGAGUGAUCUAGCCAUGGCCAGGCUGAAGGUGCGGUAACACGCACUGGAGGGCCGAACCCACGCCUGUUGAAAAAGUCGGGGAUGAGCUGUGGCUAGGGGUGAAAGGCCAAUCAAACUCGGAGAUAGCUGGUUCUCCGCGAAAUCUAUUGAGGUAGAUCGUCAUGUGUUUACCCCGGGGGGUAGAGCACUGGAUGGGCUAGGGGGUCCCAAAGACUUACCAAACCUAACCAAACUCCGAAUACCCGGGAGUAUAGCGUGGCAGACAGACGGCGGGUGCUAAGGUCCGUCGUCGAGAGGGAAACAGCCCAGACCGCCAGCUAAGGCCCCCAAAUGAUGGCUAAGUGGGAAAGGAUGUGGGGAUUCCAAAACAACCAGGAGGUUGGCUUAGAAGCAGCCAUCCUUUAAAGAAAGCGUAAUAGCUCACUGGUCUAAUAGAAACCCUGCGCCGAAAAUGUAACGGGGCUCAAGCCAUCUGCCGAAGCUGCGGGUGCAUAGCAAUAUGCGCGGUAGCGGAGCGUUCCGUAGGCCUGCGAAGGGAGCGGGGUGACCCCUCCUGGAGGUAUCGGAAGUGCGAAUGCUGACAUGAGUAGCGACAAACAGAGUGAGAAACUCUGUCGCCGAAAGUCCAAGGGUUCCUGCGCAAGGUUAAUCCGCGCAGGGUGAGCCGGCCCCUAAGGCGAGGGCGAAAGCCGUAGUC